rnacentral:rRNA from 1 species
UCGAGAAUCUUUCGCAAUGGGGGAAACCCUGACGACGCGACGCCGCGUGGAGGAUGAAGGCCUUCGGGUUGUAAACUCCUGUCAGCUGGGGAGAACAAGCUUUUGGUGAAUAAUCAAGAGCUUUGACAGUACCAGCAGAGGAAGCCACGGCUAACUCUGUGCCAGCAGCCGCGGUAAUACAGAGGUGGCAAGCGUUGUUCGGAUUUAUUGGGCGUAAAGGGUCCGUAGGCGGCCUGAAAAGUCGGAUGUGAAAUCCCACGGCUUAACUGUGGAACUGCAUUCGAAACUUUCGGGCUCGAGUGUGAUAGGGGUAAAGGGAAUUCCCGGUGUAAGGGUGAAAUCUGCAGAGAUCGGGAGGAACACCAGUCGCGAAGGCGCUUUACUGGAUCACUACUGACGCUGAGGGACGAAAGCCAGGGGAGCAAACG